CGCGGCCUACGGGAGGCAGCAGUAGGGAAUAUUGCUCAAUGGGGGAAACCCUGAAGCAGCAACGCCGCGUGGAUGAUUAAGGUUUUCGGAUUGUAAACUCCUUUUGUUAGAGAAGAUAAUGACGGUAUCUAACGAAUAAGCACCUGCUAACUCCGUGCCAGCAGCCGCGGUAAUACGGCGGGUGCAAGCGUUACUCGGAAUCACUGGGCGUAAAGAGCGCGUAGGCGGGAUAGCAAGUCAGAUUU
rnacentral:rRNA from 1 species